rnacentral:snRNA from 1 species
GGAUGUAAGGACAAUCUGGCUAUGACAUUUGUCACCCUGUUGAUUGCCAGGGUUGAGUCUGCUGAUCUGGCUGGCCAGGUGGGUGUCAUUUUCCUCCCUCACCCGGUUGCUCCAUGUGCAUCCCUCCCGAAGCUGCUAGGUGGAAGAAGACGACUAUCCCCAGUAGAAGAGCACGAUCUUUGGUCAAGGGUAUACAAGUAGCUGCGCUCCCCUGCUGAACCUCCAAACAAGCUCUCAAAGAUAUUAACUAAUUUUCCUGAAGACACACUUCUGGAACAAAAUGUAACUUGAGUACAGAAUUUUAUACCAAACUAAAUUAAACUCCAUAAGGGAAGUAAAGUAAACUU